CAGGUGGUCGGGUAGAGAAUACCAAGGCGCUUGAGAGAACUCGGGUGAAGGAACUAGGCAAAAUGGUACCGUAACUUCGGGAGAAGGUACGCUCUUGAUGGUGAAGUCCCUUGCGGAUGGAGCUGACGAGAGUCGCAGAUACCAGGUGGCUGCAACUGUUUAUUAAAAACACAGCACUGUGCAAAAUCGUAAGAUGACGUAUACGGUGUGACGCCUGCCCGGUGCCGGAAGGUUAAUU
rnacentral:rRNA from 1 species